AGGAGCCUGUUCUAUAAUCGAUACCCCCCGCUACACCUAACCAUUUCUAGCUAUUCAGCCUGUAUACCUCCGUCGUAAGCCUACCAUWUGAACGUCCCAUAGUAAGCUUAAUGGUCCUNCACCAAUNNUUCNGGUCAAGGUGCACCCCAUGAAAUGGUAAGCAAUGGGCUACAAUUUCUAACUUAGAACAAACGAAAGAUUUUCUGAAAUAUAAUCGUGAAGGCGGAUUUAGUANUAAAAAGGAAWUNNANCNUCCUUUUUAMCUCGGCCCUGGGACUUGUAC
rnacentral:rRNA from 1 species